rnacentral:rRNA from 1 species
UACGGGGGGGAGCAAGCGUUGUUCGGAUUUACUGGGCGUAAAGGGCGCGUAGGCGGUCGUGACAAGUCACUUGUGAAAUCUCCGGGCUUAACUCGGAACGGUCAAGUGAUACUGUCGGACUAGAGUACAGAAGGGGCAACUGGAAUUCUCGGUGUAGCGGUGAAAUGCGUAGAUAUCGAGAGGAACACCUGCGGCGAAGGCGGGUUGCUGGGCUGAUACUGACGCUGGAGGAGCGAAAGCGUGGGGAGCAAACAGG